CAUGUGGGAUGGAGCCCGCAGAGGGAGGCCACAGGGCAGACAGUGUUAGGAUUUCAAGGGAGGUGCCGAAUGCUGGAGUUUCCCACAACACCCUCUUACUGCAUCCCCUCUAUUUUGGGAGCCAGUUCCCUAAGAAUCUGAUUAUAACUUCUCUAGUAAAGGGGGCAUUCCUGACUACUUGCCAAUGUCCCUCACCCAUCUCUGAUGACAGGCAGGUCCCCAUCCUGGGGCCUCAGUGGCCCCAGCUAGAAAGGGAAGUUCUUUCAAGCCCCGAGGUCAUAUGAUAUUUGCAGCGGAUGGGAAGCUCUCAGUGUCACUUAGAUUCUACCCAGAAUAUGACCUCCUUUCUUUCACUAUAGCUUGUGCCUAGUGUUGGUGGUGUGGUUCACUUCCCUGUUCUUGGCCCUCCUAGGUCAAUCAGCGCAAAUGGGAAGGUGAACUAGAGGAAGCCCUGUGGGCUGCAGGCAAGUCUGCAGAUGCAUGCUUGCUUUCAUACCUGCUAACUUGGCACCCAAGUACCAGUAAGCCAGGCUGGGCAGGCAGCCAGGCAAUAGUCAGACUCUUAGCUUUGCUUUGAAGCAGUGGCUGUCUGGGUUCUCUUCUAACUGCCUGAGGAAGCUUAAGGGUUAAGGAAUUCAGGGGACAGCAUGCACAGUGGGAUGGAGGCCCUCUGAGAUAGCCAAAGGUGGGGUGGACAGGCUAGUAGGAGCCCCCAGACUCAAGCCUAUGCGACAUCCAGUCCCAACCUCAACCUGGCUAUCAUCUCUGUCACCUUCAUUCAUAGUCAUGAGGGCUUUUACUGUUGACGUUUUGGAUUUUGUGAAAUGUCACAACCUAGGAAACCCUAUUAGUGGUAUUCUCUGUAAUGGACACAUUCUCUUACCCACUGCCACACUGAUACCCGCUGUUCUCGAUAAGCCACCCAGACUCCAUAUAGGUAAACAAGGAAGGAAGCCACCAUGGGAUGGAUGCUGAGACCUUUUACCUGUUUUGCCUCUAUCCUGGGCUUGAUGAGUGAGGUGGGCUGCAGGCUCCGCAAGUUCUGGAAGUCUUUGGUCCAGGGACAAGAUCCAUUCCAUCAACUUGAUACUUGGUUUCCACAGUGGGGGCCUGACACCACAAAUCCCCACUCAGGGGCUUGCAGCAGUAGCCAAUGGAGCAGAGAGGACAGCCGAAGCUGAGAAACAGAAGUGAGGGACUGACCAGCACCUGAAGGUCAGGAUGGGAGGACAAGAGGUGCUCCCUCCCCCCAAAAUGACCCCAAGAUAUGCUUAUGAUAAAUAUGCAAUCAGAACUAUGAAUUUUUUUUCUCAUCCCAAAGUCGAGGAAAUUACCUCAGAACAGGGCUGCGGUGAGUUGGCCGGCUGGAGUAAGGAGAGUCCGGACCAGUGCCACACUAGUUAGUGGCUCUCCAUCUUCCCAAUGUUGCGACUCUUUAAUACAAUUCCUCAUGUUAUGGUGACCCUCAACCAUAAAAUUAUUUUCGCUGCUACUUCAUAGCUGUAAGUUUUCUACUGUUAUGAAUCAUGAUGUAAACAUCUGCUAUGCAGGAAUGUCCAAUAUGCAACUCCUAUGGAGGGUCAGCCAACCUCCAAAGGGGUCUUGAUCUACAAGUUGAGAAUUGCUGCUGUAGAACCAUCCCUGACCAUUCCCCAACAAUGGCAUUGUCAGAAUUCUAACACCCUCUGGUCUUGUCUCGGUGUCAUCUAUGUGAGGAUUUCCCAGGGGUACCCCCCCAAAUUAACUGCUCUUCCCUCCAGACCCCUAUGAACCUUGUUUGUCUCUCAUUAACCCCUUCUCUUGCCCUGAGACUGGAGGUGGUCCUCUAGCCUCCAUGGCCUGCAAUCUCUGCAGAACCAAGCCCUUCCUUACCAUCUGUGUCUCCAGCCCUUCUGUACUGAACAGCACAUAGUAUGUACUCAGUGAACGAGAGAGAAGAUGAAGUCACUCAGAAGGUCCUGUUGCUCCACCCUGGGGGUUGCUCAAAGCUCAUUACUCCAGCCACUGCUCACAGUCCUAAAUACGGAAGUAUGAAUCCCAGUGCAGGCAGAGGUACAUCCUGCAACCUGUGCUUCAGAGCGGACUCCCUGGGAGUCUCUGGAGCAGGCUGGACAGUGAGGAUCCUGGGCCCCUGUUCUUGCCUGGGGAGAGGACUUAGCCGAGUCUUUAUCUGAGAGGCCACGACUGUGAUGGUUCUAUCUUUCCAUGACCCAUUUUCUCCCCUGGAAAUGUCAUUCUGAUGUCCAUUCGGUUCCUGUCAGAAGCCCAGUGAGCAUCAGGACCAAGGAUGGCAGAAGGCUGCCCUGAUGCCUUUCUCCGAGUGACAAUUGUGGAAUCUUGGCUUCUUCCCAUUCGUCCCAGAACUGCUGGGUUUGAAGUGCAGCUUCUGAGAGACUUGGAUUUAGACAGUGAGUACAGGCCUGUUGGGGUCACAGGGCUCCACAAAGCUAAAGCCAAGCCCAGCCACCCACCCUUGCUCACUGUGGGCUGUGCCCUCUCCCUCCACAUGGAAGGCUCUGCACUGGGCCAUGAGGUUUCAGCCUGGGCUUCCAAGUCAGAAAAGCCUGAGUUCAAAUCCCAGGCCUGGAUUUAAGGAGCUCUUCCCACAAGGAAACCUCUGCCUCAAAGUUGCUGUUUUGUUCAACCCAUAAAGCUGUUUUCGUCGUGUCUGAGCCCCAGUCUCUCCCUUUCCCUUGUAGAGGAGAAGGUGAUGAAAAUUUGUUUUGUAGGAACUGGGAGACAGCUGUCAAUUCACUGUGUUUCCCAGUGAGGUUUCUGUGAGGUCCCAGGCCUGGAGGAGAACAUUCUGUGGGAAGAUGGGCAUCUCCCACCAUGGCACCCAUGCUGCUGAGGCCUUAUGAGGCCUCGGGGAAGGGCUUUACUGGACCCAGGGUAGUAAAGGGUAGUACUUUACUGGGUCUGUGGGUCUUUUCCUGACCUCCUGCAUGCUGCCAUGGGAUUUUGGAAGGUCCUGAUCUCCUUGUCCAAAGCUGGAGACUCUGGCAAAGGUCAGUCUGAACUGUGUAGACAUUGGAACCACUGUGAUUUACAGUGUUUUCCUGAGGAUAUAUAGACAUUUAUAAAAAAGCCCUAACAGAAUAGCUUUGCAAACCUUUUUCACCAGCAAGGGGAAAAAUGGUGAGGGAAAGGUUAAAAAGAAAAAGGGAUUUGAGCCAAUAACUUGGACUUUCUGCGGGCCAGCUGGAGAGAAGCGAGUAGCUGGGUUUUCUUUCCAGGGGAGUGCGCUGGGGCCAACUGAGUUGCUGCCAACCCUGAUGGGCCUGUGGCCAAGACCUUGAGGAGGGGUGCAGCUGCCCCCAUGCCCUCCAGGCCCUGUGUCUCCCACUGUGUGCUAAGCAAGGCUCUUCCUGUACUGGGGGCAAGGUGCCAGAGGUCCCCCUUGGGGCCCGGCUUGUUGAGGUUGGGUCAAGCUCUGCUUCUCCCUGGAUAGCUCUCAAGGGAGACAAGAGAGGGGACCUGAGAACUGGGGUCUGAGGCCUAAUCAAGGAAGAUCCAGUGAUGGCUGUCUGUCUGUCAAGGCUGGGGUGAAUGACUAGGCAGAGUCUGGCCGGGGUUUGGCCAGAAGACCUUGAGCUUGAAGGCAGGAGGGACGGUCUCUUGCAUUCUCACCUGCCACAGGUGACAGUUUAUUUGUGACAAUUUUCAGCUGUCCCUGCAGACAAAGGCUAAGUCUCCACAGCAGCUCUUCUUCCCUCUCCCUGCCCCCAGAGACCCAUCCAGACCCAGGCUGUGUUUGCUCUGUGGGUAGCAGAGGGUCCACUGCCUGGCUGGGUAGAUUUCUGUCCUUCCUCAGGUUGCAGAGGUACACAAGGACUUUGUAGUCAUACUCCCCUGUGAGGAAGUCGUAAGAGUCGUCCAAGCCAGCAAGGAAGGGGAGAGGCAGCAGGACUGGCCAGGUCUCUCGCCAGCCGGGCAACACUGUCAGGUACUGGAAGUUCCUGACACUGCCUGGCCCAGUGAGUGAGCAGUGGCAGAUGGAGAGCUGGCCGGAAGGGGUCUUCUCCCAUCAGAGACUCCUAAAUUCUGACUGACAGAGACCAUGAGCACAAAGCAUGGAGGUGCGUGCAGAUCAUCCAGGGAGAACCUGUAUCGUUCCCAUGUGCCACAGAACGGGCCUCCGAUAAGAUGCCUUCUGCCCCUGGGAAGCUACUUCCUGUCUGGUCCUCUGCUGCUCCUCUUCCGUGUGACGUCCAAACACCACAGCUUUAAAAAGCACUACUACCCCAAUGCCUGGCCAUUAUGAACUGGAUGAAAACAAGAUACAACACAAUCUGGUUGUCGAUAUUAAUUUGCCUGAAGGAACCCAGUACUCUUCCACGUAAACUGCACUUUCCUGGGGCGGGGCGGGGGGGGGGAUCUGGGCUGGGCCCCCUCUUAGAUGAAGACUGCUCUUCCACGUCACAGCUCUUGCUUGCUGGUUUUCCUCACGCCAACAGCUGGUCUGCAGCUGUCCAUCUGCUGGCCUGGCUCCAGGCUGAUAGGGAUGAUUUGGUAAUAGAAAAAGCUAUGGCACAGCCAUGGGGUUACAGCUCUCCCAAAUCACCCAGAGUCGCCUUAGAAACGGGCCACCGCCUACCACCUUCCCUCGCUGAUGUGACUAGAGUGUGGAUUUUGGCACGUGAAUGCUGUGCACCAUCCUCAUGUGUGGCAGCCAGGGGACCACCCAGCCCUGAAAAGCUGGCCCACACCCCUCAGGGUGAGCUCUCUCUCUCUCUCUUCAUGCCUGAACUUGUUUUUCCUGGCAGUGUAAAGGCCACAUGUUUUGUGGCCUUACAUGUGAGGCGCCUAUGUGGGCUCCUUUUACCCAGCAAGGGGAGAGCGAUAUAAGAAGGGCUUCGUGGGAACAGAACCAUUUAUAACCCGCUAAACUGCCUGUCCUGAUAGAGACCCAGUCCCUCCUGCGUGGAGUAAUGCGUACAAGAUGUGGAGCGCUUCGGGCCAUCCCAGCCAUGUGAGCCGGCCAAGCACUUAUGUUUUGAAUAACCUCUUGGGCGGCGCUUGCUAAUUGAUACCAGCGACAGCUUCGCAGCCCUCGGAGAACAGAGAAGAAGCCAGGAAUCCCCAGGACAAGGGGAGGAUUCACCAACGCCCUUGAGUCACUCCACACCAUCACACGUGUCUGGUCCAGACAAACACUACUAGUGACUGGAAGUGCACUGCCCAUGAACUCCGGCUAGUCUGCUGGAAAACAGCUUCUAGAAAGUUCUUUUCUCAAGGAAUCCAAACCCUGCCUCCACAAGUCUUCAUGUUAGGGCCCUUGCCCAGUCGGUUCUGGUGCCGCCCCUCUCACAGGAGCACCCUUUGCUGCAGGAAGACAAUCCUGAAUUGACCCAAACUGCGUGAGACCCCUAGACUUCGUCUCCCAGGGCUUCUUAGACAAGUAGCUUCCCAAGUGCUUGCUGAGCGGCCCAGCGGGGAAUCCGGAUGAGUUCCAGGUUCAUCCACAGUUUGCACUUAGCUGUGGCAGCUACCAGGAAUUAGGAGGCUUCCUCUCCAGGGUCUCAAAAUAUCUGAGACCCUGAUCUUCACGUCCACUAAUGGGUUAACAGGACUUGUUCGUUCAAUUCUUUGACACUAAGAAACAGCAGCCCUGGUAGAACUGUGCUUGAGAUGUAUCCAGAUCCAGCUUAGGCUCGUAGGCUUCAUAGGUUUCAAGCAAACAGGAAGAUGAGCACACCUGGGAAACUGAGGCUGGGAUUAGGAGAAAUGACAUGUGCCCACAGGUACAUGGCACACUCCCUGGGAUCUGGAACUCUGUGCUUUUGAGGCCUGAUCCAACGCCUUUCCCUUACCCUCAGACAGCUCAGCCAGGCAAAGGGGAUGGGACACAUCAGCUACCAGACACUUGUGUUUCGUGUGUUUCUGGGCACAGGUUGGUGUGGCUUCGAGCAGCCACCGUGCCCCUCCUCCCCUUGAGAGCAAAGAACUGGGUGUUUAUGGACCCCCGCUGUGGUCUCUGGCCCUGGAAACAGGGUGUGCCCACUCAGCCUGAGGGAGCCGAGGCGGCCAGUUCCUGCUCUGCCGCUCUUCUCUGUGCCCGGAAGCCUGAAGGCACAAGGGCUGGCCGCUUUCCCAGAAAACCCAGCUCACUGCCUGCCUGUUCUGUCCUUGAGCUCAGCCCCAGUGCUGUCCCGUGACAGGAUCCAGGUUGGGGAUGGAAGACAGCAGACCUCCUCUGAGGCUUCUGAGAGAGCCUACAAGUUAGGGUCUCCAGGGGUGGUCCCCAGGACCAGGACCCCCCUACCCCAGGCAGCAUGCACCUUCAUUCAGCUUGGGGGGCCUGUAUCUGGAAGACAAAACAAGGGUGCCCUCCCCUCCUUGAUGAGUUACUUCUAAAGGCCCUGUCUCCAGUAUGGGGGGAGGGGACUUGGAGGCUAUCCAGGGGACAGCCUUCAGGCUUCUGUGGUUUCUACUGGCAGGGCUGGAGGACACUCCCCACUCCCCGUAUUGUGUGACCACCUAGGCUGAAGCGAUAGAGUUGACCAGAGGCAACUUUUGAACUCUUUCUUUCCCUACAGUGAGCAGAAAGCCCCUUUCUCCUGCUUUGGUGGGGGUAAGACGUGUUGUUGGAAGCCUGCAGGCACUGACUCUGAAGGGUGGCGUCAAGGAUAGUGGCCACCAGUCAGUCUGUUCUCAAGAUGGUGUCGUGUCUCCCUUAUCGAGUGGCCAGGUGGAAAGGCAUGGGCCGUGGGUAUGGUCAUGUCUCCCUCAUUGUGAAUUUUGUGAGUAACAUACUGAUGCAAAGAAAGCGGUUGCAGUUCAGCCUGAGACUGACUCGGUGCUCUCAUCUGUAAAAUGGAUCCUCAAAAAUGUGGCCCUCUUAAUAGUCACUGGAUUUGAAUGGGCCUUUCCCACUUUGAGGAAGGGUGGGAUCAG